ACGCUCGACACCUACGGGAGGCAGCAGUGGGGAAUAUUGCACAAUGGGGGAAACCCUGAUGCAGCGACGCCGCGUGAGUGAAGAAGUAUUUCGGUAUGUAAAGCUCUAUCAGCAGGGAAGAAAAUGACGGUACCUGACUAAGAAGCCCCGGCUAACUACGUGUCAGCAGCCGCGGUAAUCUGAGCGGGCUGGCAAGGC
rnacentral:rRNA from 1 species